CUACGGGAGGCAGCAGUGGGGAAUCUUGGACAAUGGGCGCAAGCCUGAUCCAGCCAUGCCGCGUGAGUGAAGAAGGCCUUAGGGUUGUAAAGCUCUUUUGCCAGGGACGAUAAUGACGGUACCUGGAGAAUAAGCCCCGGCAAACUUCGUGCCAGCAGCCGCGGUAAUACGAAGGGGGCUAGCGUUGUUCGGAUUUACUGGGCGUAAAGCGCACGUAGGCGGGUCGUUAAGUCAGGGGUGAAAUCCCGGAGCUCAACUCCGGAACUGCCUUUGAUACUGGCGACCUUGAGGCUGGAAGGGGUUAGUGGAAUUCCCAGUGUAGAGGUGAAAUUCGUAGAUAUUGGGAAGAACACCAGUGGCGAAGGCGGCUAACUGGUCCAGAUCUGACGCUGAGGUGCGAAAGCGUGGGGAGCAAACAGGAUUAGAAACCCGAGUAGUCC
rnacentral:rRNA from 1 species